rnacentral:rRNA from 1 species
AAGUCAUGGUUAAGUGGGAAACGAUGUGGGAAGGCCCAGACAGCCAGGAUGUUGGCUUAGAAGCAGCCAUCAUUUAAAGAAAGCGUAAUAGCUCACUGGUCGAGUCGGCCUGCGCGGAAGAUGUAACGGGGCUAAACCAUGCACCGAAGCUGCGGCAGCGAACGUAUCACUUAAAGCGAUUCAGCGGGUUACGAUUGACGGAGCGAAGCGACGUCAAAGCGUAUACAAAGUCGAGUCGGUUUAAGGAUACGUUCGUUGGGUAGGGGAGCGUUCUGUAAGCCUGCGAAGGUGGCCUGUGAGGGUUGCUGGAGGUAUCAGAAGUGCGAAUGCUGACAUAAGUAACGAUAAAGCGGGUGAAAAGCCCGCUCGCCGGAAGACCAAGGGUUCCUGUCCAACGUUAAUCGGGGCAGGGUGAGUCGACCCCUAAGGCGAGGCCGAAAGGCGUAGUCGAUGGGAAACGGGUUAAUAUUCCCGUACUUGGUGUUACUGCGAAGGGGGGACGGAGAAGGCUAUGUUGGCCGGGCGACGGUUGUCCCGGUUUAAGCGUGUAGGUGUGUGUUCCAGGUAAAUCCGGUUCACUUUAACACUGAGGCGUGANGACGAGGCACUACGGUGCUGAAGCAACAAAUGCCCUGCUUCCAGGAAAAGCCUCUAAGCAUCAGGUAACAUCAAAUCGUACCCCAAACCGACACAGGUGGUCAGGUAGAGAAUACCAAGGCGCUUGAGAGAACUCGGGUGAAGGAACUAGGCAAAAUGGUGCCGUAACUUCGGGAGAAGGCACGCUGACACGUAGGUGAAGUGAUUUACUCAUGGAGCUGAAGUCAGUCGAAGAUACCAGCUGGCUGCAACUGUUUAUUAAAAACACAGCACUGUGCAAACACGAAAGUGGACGUAUACGGUGUGACGCCUGCCCGGUGCCGGAAGGUUAAUUGAUGGGGUCAGCGCAAGCGAAGCUCCUGAUCGAAGCCCCGGUAAACGGCGGCCGUAACUAUAACGGUCCUAAGGUAGCGAAAUUCCUUGUCGGGUAAGUUCCGACCUGCACGAAUGGCGUAAUGAUGGCCAGGCUGUCUCCACCCGAGACUCAGUGAAAUUGAACUCGCUGUGAAGAUGCAGUGUACCCGCGGCAAGACGGAAAGACCCCGUGAACCUUUACUAUAGCUUGACACUGAACAUUGAGCCUUGAUGUGUAGGAUAGGUGGGAGGCUUUGAAGUGUGGACGCCAGUCUGCAUGGAGCCGACCUUGAAAUACCACCCUUUAAUGUUUGAUGUUCUAACGUGGACCCGUNAUCCGGGUUGCGGACAGUGUCUGGUGGGUAGUUUGACUGGGGCGGUCUCCUCCUAAAGAGUAACGGAGGAGCACGAAGGUUGGCUAAUCCUGGUCGGACAUCAGGAGGUUAGUGCAAUGGCAUAAGCCAGCUUGACUGCGAGCGUGACGGCGCGAGCAGGUGCGAAAGCAGGUCAUAGUGAUCCGGUGGUUCUGAAUGGAAGGGCCAUCGCUCAACGGAUAAAAGGUACUCCGGGGAUAACAGGCUGAUACCGCCCAAGAGUUCAUAUCGACGGCGGUGUUUGGCACCUCGAUGUCGGCUCAUCACAUCCUGGGGCUGAAGUAGGUCCCAAGGGUAUGGCUGUUCGCCAUUUAAAGUGGUACGCGAGCUGGGUUUAGAACGUCGUGAGACAGUUCGGUCCCUAUCUGCCGUGGGCGCUGGAGAACUGAGGGGGGCUGCUCCUAGUACGAGAGGACCGGAGUGGACGCAUCACUGGUGUUCGGGUUGUCAUGCCAAUGGCACUGCCCGGUAGCUAAAUGCGGAAGAGAUAAGUGCUGAAAGCAUCUAAGCACGAAACUUGCCCCGAGAUGAGUUCUCCCUGAGACUUAGAGUCUCCUGAAGGAACGUUGAAGACGACGACGUUGAUAGGCCGGGUGUGUAAGCGCAGCGAUGCGUUGAGCUAACCGGUACUAAUGAACCGUGAGGCUUAACCUUACAACGCCGAAG